rnacentral:rRNA from 1 species
UACGGAGGGAGCUAGCGUUGUUCGGAAUUACUGGGCGUAAAGCGCACGUAGGCGGCUUUUUAAGUCAGGGGUGAAAUCCCGGGGCUCAACCUCGGAACUGCCUUUGAUACAGCAAGUCUUGAGUUCGAGAGAGGUGGGUGGAAUUCCUAGUGUAGAGGUGAAAUUCGUAGAUAUUAGGAAGAACACCGGUGGCGAAGGCGGCCCACUGGCUCGAUACUGACGCUGAGGUGCGAAAGCGUGGGGAGCAAACAGGG